rnacentral:tRNA from 1 species
AAAGGUAUAGCUCAGCUGGGAGAGCGCUUGAAUGGCAUUCAAGAGGUCAUGGAUUCGAAUCCCACUAUCUUCA